rnacentral:rRNA from 1 species
AGAGUUUGAUCAUGGCUCAGAUUGAACGCUGGCGGCAGGCCUAACACAUGCAAGUCGAGCGGUAGCACAGAGAGCUUGCUCUCGGGUGACGAGCGGCGGACGGGUGAGUAAUGUCUGGGAAACUGCCUGAUGGAGGGGGAUAACUACUGGAAACGGUAGCUAAUACCGCAUAACGUCGCAAGACCAAAGUGGGGGACCUUCGGGCCUCAUGCCAUCAGAUGUGCCCAGAUGGGAUUAGCUAGUAGGUGGGGUAACGGCUCACCUAGGCGACGAUCCCUAGCUGGUCUGAGAGGAUGACCAGCCACACUGGAACUGAGACACGGUCCAGACUCCUACGGGAGGCAGCAGUGGGGAAUAUUGCACAAUGGGCGCAAGCCUGAUGCAGCCAUGCCGCGUGUGUGAAGAAGGCCUUCGGGUUGUAAAGCACUUUCAGCGGGGAGGAAGGCGNNNNNNNNNNNNNNNNNNNNNNNNCGAUUGACGUUACCCGCAGAAGAAGCACCGGCUAACUCCGUGCCAGCAGCCGCGGUAAUACGGAGGGUGCAAGCGUUAAUCGGAAUUACUGGGCGUAAAGCGCACGCAGGCGGUCUGUCAAGUCGGAUGUGAAAUCCCCGGGCUCAACCUGGGAACUGCAUUCGAAACUGGCAGGCUAGAGUCUUGUAGAGGGGGGUAGAAUUCCAGGUGUAGCGGUGAAAUGCGUAGAGAUCUGGAGGAAUACCGGUGGCGAAGGCGGCCCCCUGGACAAAGACUGACGCUCAGGUGCGAAAGCGUGGGGAGCAAACAGGAUUAGAUACCCUGGUAGUCCACGCCGUAAACGAUGUCGAUUUGGAGGUUGUGCCCUUGAGGCGUGGCUUCCGGAGCUAACGCGUUAAAUCGACCGCCUGGGGAGUACGGCCGCAAGGUUAAAACUCAAAUGAAUUGACGGGGGCCCGCACAAGCGGUGGAGCAUGUGGUUUAAUUCGAUGCAACGCGAAGAACCUUACCUGGUCUUGACAUCCACAGAACUUNNNNNNNNNNNNNNNNNNUUGGUGCCUUCGGGAACUGUGAGACAGGUGCUGCAUGGCUGUCGUCAGCUCGUGUUGUGAAAUGUUGGGUUAAGUCCCGCAACGAGCGCAACCCUUAUCCUUUGUUGCCAGCGGUUAGGCCGGGAACUCAAAGGAGACUGCCAGUGAUAAACUGGAGGAAGGUGGGGAUGACGUCAAGUCAUCAUGGCCCUUACGACCAGGGCUACACACGUGCUACAAUGGCAUAUACAAAGAGAAGCGACCUCGCGAGAGCAAGCGGACCUCAUAAAGUAUGUCGUAGUCCGGAUUGGAGUCUGCAACUCGACUCCAUGAAGUCGGAAUCGCUAGUAAUCGUAGAUCAGAAUGCUACGGUGAAUACGUUCCCGGGCCUUGUACACACCGCCCGUCACACCAUGGGAGUGGGUUGCAAAAGAAGUAGGUAGCUUAACCUUCGGGAGGGCGCUUACCACUUUGUGAUUCAUGACUGGGGUGAAGUCGUAACAAGGUAACCGUAGGGGAACCUGCGGUUGGAUCACCU